rnacentral:rRNA from 1 species
CACGUAGGGCGCGAGCGUUGUCCGGAAUUAUUGGGCGUAAAGAGCUCGUAGGCGGCCUGUUGCGUCCGCUGUGAAAGCCCGGGGCUAACCCCGGGUCGCAGUGGAUACGGGCAGGCUAGAGGUAGGUAGGGGAGAAUGGAAUUCCCGGUGUAGCGGUGAAAUGCGCAGAUAUCGGGAGGAACACCGGUGGCGAAGGCGGUUCUCUGGGCCUUACCUGACGCUGAGGAGCGAAAAGCGUGGGGGAGCGAACAGGG